rnacentral:rRNA from 1 species
UACGGGGGGGGCAAGCGUUGUUCGGAAUUACUGGGCGUAAAGGGCUCGUAGGUGGCCAACUAAGUCAGACGUGAAAUCCCUCGGCUUAACCGGGGAACUGCGUCUGAUACUGGAUGGCUUGAGUUUGGGAGAGGGAUGCGGAAUUCCAGGUGUAGCGGUGAAAUGCGCAGAUAUCUGGAGGAACACCGGUGGCGAAGGCGGCAUCCUGGACCAAUACUGACACUGAGGAGCGAAAGCCAGGGGAGCAAACGGG